rnacentral:lncRNA from 1 species
UUCCCUAUAUGUUGCUUCGAUAUAGGGAGGUUAUGAUCUAAUAGAAACAGUUGGAAGACUGUUCUGUCCACAUUGUCACUUCCAUAUAUAUUUUGUUUUGCACUGUGCAUUCGUUUAAGACCCAUCAACUAGCCCAAAUUAAUUUACAUAUCUCAUAAAAGCAAGUGCACUGCAGUUGGAGCUUUGGAAAUAGGCCUGUGUUUAAAACAGAUUCGAGUGGUCGACACAUGAAGUGGGCUCAUUCAUGUGAGUAUCCAUGUCAGUGCUAAGAUUUGUGAUUUCGAGCUUCUCAAUUAGUUUAGAGUGUCAAACAAGCUCAAAUGAUUUUCUGUCUGCAAUACAGGAAUAUAACAUCAAUCCGGCCAGGUUUACCAAGAAUGCUAGCAAAUGCUUGCAUGUAUAAACCCGUGAUCCAACUUCCAAUAAAUCGUUGAAAGUA